UUGUCUUUUCAACAUCAUACUUUUCCUUUCAUUCCCUUUUUGAUUUUCUCUUAGAUAAGGAGGCUUAGGAUGAUGUUUCUCUCCUUGAUAAAUUGAAGCUUCAUCUUUCCUUUCUCCUUCUCUCUUGAAGCUAGCAAGGUGGUGAAACCUCUUCCAAGGGAAAAGAGAUCGAUGAGGAGUAAUCGCGUCCAAAGCCUAGGCAAUUUAUUUUCGGUCCUAGCGGCUAGCUUUUGAGGUGGCGCGAAAGGCCGGUUGAUUCUUUCAACUAAUUCAGGAAGGGGCGUAGGACCUUGAUUGGAUGGCCAUCAGGGAGCCAGAGUUACCAUAUGGUGAACCGAUGGAUCAACGUUAAAGGCAUGAGUACCUUAAUGGCUUUGAACCUAGCCGCGAUCACUGCAAAAGCUGUUGCAGGUAGUAGUGCGGCUGUGUAGUAGCGUGCAGGGCAUUUGCUAGUCUCUUACCAUUUGUGUUCAUCUUCCUGUUCAAGUUUGUUUGGUCAGCCUUGCGGCGACCCGAGCGUUAAGUGGCUGGGUAUCCCUCCUCGGGUCAGAGCAUGACACGUUCACAAGAGUGGAAUGCAAUCGCAAUCUCAGCAACCACCAAUGCUCUUAUCUUGUGUGGAUUUUAGGGUUCAAUAUCAAGUCUUCCUGAAAUGAACAUCCUAUGCAAGAGACUUAGUACUAUUAAGCCAAGAUCAUGUGGGGAGAAAACACUUGUUAAUA